UAUAAACCAAUGCUUCCGUAAAUUCAGUUGUGGUUUACAAUUAUAGCUUCCGUACCUGUUUAUUUGGAAUCAUCUCCCGAAGAAAAUAAAGAAAGAACAAGAAUCAAAGAAAAGGCAGCGAUUUAAAUCAAGAUUUUUCCAGCAGCCUAUGGCAAAUCACAAAUAGAAGUAAAAGCACAAAAUAACAAAGCAAUCUUGCAUCAGACUACUUGUCUUCUUGUAGUUGGAUCUCCAAGUUUUUGGAAUGCUCCAAAUUCCACUU
rnacentral:lncRNA from 1 species